GGAUCGAUCAUACCAGCACUAAUGCACCGGAUCCCAUCAGAACUCCGAAGUUAAGCGUGCUUUGGGCGAGAGUAGUACUAGGAUGGGUGACCCCCUGGGAAGUCCUCGUGUUGCAUCCC
rnacentral:rRNA from 1 species